UGGGGAAUCUUGCACAAUGGGGGAAACCCUGAUGCAGCGACGCCGCGUGAGCGAUGAAGCCCUUCGGGGUGUAAAGCUCUUUCGGCAGGGACGAUAAUGACGGUACCUGCAGAAGCAGCUGCGGCUAACUACGUGCCAGCAGCCGCGGUAAUACGUAGGCAGCAAGCGUUGUUCGGAGUUACUGGGCGUAAAGGGUGCGUAGGCGGCUCUAUAAGUAUGGUGUGAAAUCUCCCGGCUUAACCGGGAGGGUGCGCCGUAGACUGUGGGGCUAGAGUGUGGGAGAGGAAAGUGGAAUUCCUGGUGUAGCGGUGAAAUGCGUAGAUAUCAGGAGGAACACCGGUGGUGUAAACGGCUUUCUGGACCAUAACUGACGCUGAGGCACGAAAGCGUGGGUAGCAAACAGGAUUAGAUACCCUGGUAGUCCACGCCCUAAACGAUGCAUAUUUGGUGUGGGCCAUUCAUUUGGUCUGUGCCGGAGCUAACGCGUUAAAUAUGCCGCCUGGGGAGUACAGUCGCAAGGCUG
rnacentral:rRNA from 1 species